GGGCCCGUAGCUCAGCCGGAUAGAGCGCUGCCCUCCGAAGGCAGAAGUCGGAGGUUCGAAUCCUCUCGGGCCCGCCA
rnacentral:tRNA from 1 species